rnacentral:lncRNA from 1 species
UCUUCCCAAGUUCGCUGCUCAGCAUCUGCAACCGACCGCCCGACUCUUCCUCAACCACACUGCACUCGCCUCGCUGUUCGACCCCAGCAACGGAGCUACACCUCACCGCGACCCAGCCGUGCUACUAGUUGCUGCCACUUUGCUGGUCGUCCACCAUCGCCCGGCAUAGAUCCGACGAUCCGACGCCCCUGCUGCCGUGCCUCCCGUUGCCCUCCGCCCGAAGCUCCUUCGCCUUACCGCGCGACUACUUCUUCACCACCGUCCCUUGCUGUUCGCGAAGUCCGACACCCUCCUCUGCUUUCCGCCAGUAAUCGAUCCGCCCAACGCCGCCUGCUGCUACUCGGAGCCGAAGACCCUGCGCCGCCGUCGUUCAGCCUCCAAAAGUCCGAGCCAUCCCUACUGCCGGCUGACCCAUGAUUCCGACCGCCAGCUGUCGCCCGAACCGCCGCGACACCACCACCCGUUGCCCGACGCCGCUCGUUACUCCCGAUGCCCGCGAUCGCCGGUGUUUGUCGCCCAGCAGCCGAACCCAAGCCGAAUCGCGGUCCGACCCGGCACCCUUGUCCGUGAAGCUACCACCGAUUCACCUCCUCGCUGCUCGCUUGCUGCUGUUUUCCUCUCGCCGGAGCUCUGACGAUCAUCCCCUAACGCCGGCGACUCCUCACCGGACCGGCCACCACGCG